UCGUACAACUGAGGUGCAAGGGCUGUCGCUGACCUUCAAGGGUCGUGCACGCCCAAGCCCUCUCACACAUCCAUCUCACCCCUUUGUGCAUCACCGCGUGGGCCCCCCUUUGCAGGAGGGCUUGCGUUUUCACAUAAAACUUGAUACAGUGUAGAAUGUUUUUUCUUUUCUUUUGCGGUCACACGCAAUCAAUA
rnacentral:misc_RNA from 1 species